AUUAGUGGCGAACGGGUGAGUAACACGUGGGCAAUCUGCCCUUCACUCUGGGACAAGCCCUGGAAACGGGGUCUAAUACCGGAUAACACUCCCACUCUCCUGAGUGGGGGUUAAAAGCUCCGGCGGUGAAGGAUGAGCCCGCGGCCUAUCAGCUUGUUGGUGAGGUAAUGGCUCACCAAGGCGACGACGGGUAGCCGGCCUGAGAGGGCGACCGGCCACACUGGGACUGAGACACGGCCCAGACUCCUACGGGAGGCAGCAGUGGGGAAUAUUGCACAAUGGGCGAAAGCCUGAUGCAGCGACGCCGCGUGAGGGAUGACGGCCUUCGGGUUGUAAACCUCUUUCAGCAGGGAAGAAGCGAAAGUGACGGUACCUGCAGAAGAAGCGCCGGCUAACUACGUGCCAGCAGCCGCGGUAAUACGUAGGGCGCAAGCGUUGUCCGGAAUUAUUGGGCGUAAAGAGCUCGUAGGCGGCUUGUCACGUCGGGUGUGAAAGCCCGGGGCUUAACCCCGGGUCUGCAUUCGAUACGGGCUAGCUAGAGUGUGGUAGGGGAGAUCGGAAUUCCUGGUGUAGCGGUGAAAUGCGCAGAUAUCAGGAGGAACACCGGUGGCGAAGGCGGAUCUCUGGGCCAUUACUGACGCUGAGGAGCGAAAGCGUGGGGAGCGAACAGGAUUAGAUACCCUGGUAGUCCACGCCGUAAACGGUGGGAACUAGGUGUUGGCGACAUUCCACGUCGUCGGUGCCGCAG
rnacentral:rRNA from 1 species